rnacentral:rRNA from 1 species
GACGUUAGCUGCAGAAGAAGCACCGGCUAACUCCGUGCCAGCAGCCGCGGUAAUACGGAGGGUGCGAGCGUUAAUCGGAAUUACUGGGCGUAAAGCGCAUGCAGGUGGUUUGUUAAGUCAGAUGUGAAAGCCCCGGGGCUCAACCUCGGAACUGCAUUUGAAACUGGCAGACUAGAGUACUGUAGAGGGGGUAGAAUUUCAGGUGUAGCGGUGAAAUUCGUAGAUAUUAGGAGGAACACCAGUGGCGAAGGCGACUUUCUGGACUGUAACUGACGCUGAGGCACGAAAGCGUGGGGAGCGAACAGGAUUAGAUACCCUGGUAG